rnacentral:rRNA from 1 species
GAUGAACGCUAGCGAUAGGCCUAACACAUGCAAGUCGAGGGGCAGCACAUGAGUAGCAAUACGAUGGUGGCGACCGGCGCACGGGUGAGUAACACGUAUGCAACCUACCUUUAACAGGGGGAUAACCCGUUGAAAGACGGACUAAUACUCCAUGACACAGGGGUCCCGCAUGGGAAUAUUUGUUAAAGAUUUAUCGGUUGAAGAUGGGCAUGCGUUCCAUUAGCUAGUUGGUGAGGUAACGGCCCACCAAGGCAACGAUGGAUAGGGGAACUGAGAGGUUUAUCCCCCACACUGGAACUGAGACACGGUCCAGACUCCUACGGGAGGCAGCAGUGAGGAAUAUUGGUCAAUGGAGGCAACUCUGAACCAGCCAAGUCGCGUGAAGGAUGAAGGUCUUAUGGAUUGUAAACUUCUUUUCAAGGGAAUAAAGUGGGGACGUGUCCUCCUUUGCAUGUACCUUGCGAAUAAGGAUCGGCUAACUCCGUGCCAGCAGCCGCGGU